rnacentral:rRNA from 1 species
GCGGCUUGUCUAGUCCGAGGUGAAAUCUCCCGGCUCAACUGGGAGGGUGCCUCGGAAACUGGCAGGCUUGAGGCAGGGAGAGGGAUGUGGAAUUCCAGGUGUAGUGGUGAAAUGCGUAGAUAUCCUAAGGAACACCAGUGGCGAAAGCGACUCACUGGGUCUCUUCUGACGCUGAGGCACGAAAGCUAGGGUAGCGAACGGGAUUAGAUACCCCGGUAGUCCUAGCCGUAAACGAUGAGCACUGGAUUGAAGGGUCCCUCAUAGCCCUUCAGUCGUAGCGAAAGUGUUAAGUGCUCCGCCUGGGGAGUAUGGUCGCAAGGCUGAAACUCAAAGAAAUUGACGGGGGCUCACACAAGCGGUGGAGGAUGUGGCUUAAUUCGAGGCUACGCGAAGAACCUUAUCCUAGUCUUGACAUGCACGGAUUAACUCCGGGAAACCAGAGCCACGCCUUCGGGUGGAACGUGCACAGGUGCUGCAUGGCUGACGUCAGCUCGUGUCGUGAGAUGUCGGGUUAAGUCCCCUAACGAGCGAAACCCUUGUCACUAGUUGCCAGCGAGUCAUGUCGGGGACUCUAGUGAGACUGCCGGUGUUAAACCGGAGGAAGGUGGGGAUGACGUCAAGUCCUCAUGGCCUUUAUGACUAGGGCUGCACACGUCCUACAAUGGCGCGCACAAAGGGAUGCAAACUCGCGAGAGCCAGCAAAUCCCAAAAAACGCGCCCCAGUUCGGAUUGCAGGCUGCAACUCGCCUGCAUGAAGCCGGAAUCGCUAGUAAUC